GCGUAGGUGGUGGUUUAAGUCUGUUGUGAAAGCCCUGGGCUCAACCUGGGAACGCAGUGGAACUGGGACUAGAGUGUGGUAGAGGGUAGCGGAAUUCCCGGUGUAGCAGUGAAAUGCGUAGAGAUCGGAGGAACAUCCAUGGCGAACAGCUACCUGGACCAACACUGACACUGAGGCACGAAAGCGUGGGGAAUUGAUGUUUAGAGA
rnacentral:rRNA from 1 species